rnacentral:rRNA from 1 species
UACGUAGGGUGCAAGCGUUAAUCGGAAUUAAUGGGCGUAAAGCGUGCGCAGGCGGUUAUGCAAGACAGAUGUGAAAUCCCCGGGCUUAACCUGGGAACUGCAUUUGUGACUGCAUAGCUGGAGUACGGUAGAGGGGGAUGGAAUUCCGCGUGUAGCAGUGAAAUGCGUAGAUAUGCGGAGGAACACCGAUGGCGAAGGCAGUCCCCUGGACCUGUACUGACGCUCAUGCACGAAAGCGUGGGGAGCAAACAGG